UACGAAGGGGACUAGCGUUGUUCGGAAUUACUGGGCGUAAAGCGCACGUAGGCGGAUUUGUAAGUCAGGGGUGAAAUCCCGGGGCUCAACCUCGGAACUGCCUUUGAUACUGCAAAUCUCGAGUCCGAUAGAGGUGGGUGGAAUUCCUAGUGUAGAGGUGAAAUUCGUAGAUAUUAGGAAGAACACCAGUGGCGAAGGCGGCCAACUGGUCCGGUACUGACGCUGAGGUGCGAAAGCGUGGGGAGCAAACAGG
rnacentral:rRNA from 1 species